rfam:Dipodomys ordii contig_25824, whole genome shotgun sequence.
GGGAAGGUGGCUCAGUGGUAGAGUGCUUGCCUCAUAUGCAUGAGGCCCUGGGUUCAAUUCCUCAACAUCACA